UAUUUCUUGAGCACAUGUAUGAGUAUGUGACAUGCGAUAAAAGUUCAUCAAUUAUCAAUUAUCAAACUAUAUAUAUCUGAUACGAUUGAUUGUUUAUAUUGAAAAUUGAAGAUACAUACAUGGUUCAAAUCAAAUGUAUACUACCUAAUUCGAUUUUGCAUCAAUUUUCAAAUUCUAAAUACAACAGAUCAAGGGGAUGAAUUGAGUGACUCGAUGAGAAAUUAGAAUCAAUUAUCAAUUAUCAAACUACACAUGUCUGAUACGAUUGAUUGUUUAUAUUGAAAAUUGAAGAUACAUACGUGGUUCAAAUCAAAUGUAUACUACCUAAUUCGGUUUUGCAUCAAUCUUCAAAUUCUAAAUACAACAGAUCAAGAGGAUGAAUUGAGUGACUCGAUGAGGAAUCAGAAUGAAUCUAACAUCAUCCAUCCCUAGCUCGAGGGUGUGACGAAAUUUCUUUACAAUAGCUACAACGUACUCUACAAGAGAUAAACUUGUUAGGUAUGAAUUUUCCCUUCCAAGAAAGUGCAAGCUAGAAAACAAGUUUCUUCAAAACUGUUUUGCUUUAUGGGUAAUGACAAGAAUUAACACGAUUUCCAUUCCACACCAGACAACUAUGGAAGACAUGAUAUCCAGAGAGACGAAGAAGCUAGCGUUGCUUCCCUGACCUCCGCCGCGCCCGGCCAGCUGCUUAAUUGCUUUACAUGUGCUUAAUUACCAACUAACUUCCAAGUUUAAUUGUUAAAUCAUCAUCAACAUUCUCUUUUGCAGAUAUUCUUUGAUUUCUUUAAGGUUUAAUUAGCUUCCACGCUGGUGGAGCCUUUGCGUUCCAAAAAGCAUGAUACUCCUAACCUUUGCGCCUAAAGCCUAAUUGUGUUAAUUAUAAGCUUAGAAACCAUUCUAGUUAGAAUCAAUUAAUAUGAAUUGGUCCACCUAAUAGUGUAGAUUACAAAGUAGAGAUGAUAGUAUACACCCUUUGUGAGUAAUUAUAGAUGAAUUUAGCAAAGCUAACUAUUUGUGGCCUCCCUAAAAAUAAAAAUAAACAAUUAUGAAAUGUAAAAGUUUCUUAUCUUAUUUAUCUUUCAUCAUCGAAUUAUAAAGUAUAUCAAACGGUAAAAGAAAAUAUGUGUACGUCACAUGUCGGAAUAUCUUUGAAAAUUCCGCUCUACAAUUGUUCUAUUCAACUAGAGGUGUCGAGCAUCAAUCAUCAUAGACUCGCCCUUGUGUGAUCUCCGCUUUGUAGAAUAAACACACCAAAACGUUACGAAGCU
rnacentral:lncRNA from 1 species